rnacentral:rRNA from 1 species
AUUGAACGCUGGCGGCAGGCCUAACACAUGCAAGUCGAGCGAGCGGCGGACGGGUGAGUAAUGUCUGGGAAACUGCCUGAUGGAGGGGGAUAACUACUGGAAACGGUAGCUAAUACCGCAUACCAUCAGAUGUGCCCAGAUGGGAUUAGCUAGUAGGUGGGGUAAAGGCUCACCUAGGCGACGAUCCCUAGCUGGUCUGAGAGGAUGACCAGCAACACUGGAACUGAGACACGGUCAAGACUCCUACGGAAGGCAGCAGUGGGGAAUAUUGCACAAUGGGCGCAAGCCUGAUGCAGCCAUGCCGCGUGUGUGAAGAAGGCCUUCGGGUUGUAAAGUACUUUCAGCGGGGAGGCGUUACUCGCAGAAGAAGCACCGACUAACUCCGUGCCAGCAGCCGCGGUAAUAC